rnacentral:rRNA from 1 species
AGGACGAACGCUGGCGGCGCGCUUAACACAUGCAAGUCGAACGUGAAGCUGGAGCUUGCUCCGGUGGAAAGUGGCGAACGGGUGCGUAACACGUGAGCAACCUGCCCCGAAGACUGGGAUAACACCGGGAAACCGGUGCUAAUACCGGAUACCUUCUUCCGAUCGCAUGGUUGGAUGAAGAAAUGGAUUCCGCUUCGGGAUGGGCUCGCGGCCUAUCAGCUUGUUGGUGAGGUAACGGCCCACCAAGGCGACGACGGGUAGCUGGUCUGAGAGGACGACCAGCCACACUGGGACUGAGACACGGCCCAGACUCCUACGGGAGGCAGCAGUGGGGAAUCUUGCUCAAUGGGCGAAAGCCUGAAGCAGCGACGCCGCGUGCGGGAUGAAGGCCCUCGGGUUGUAAACCGCUUUCAGCAGGGACGAAAUUGACGGUACCUGCAGAAGAAGGCCCGGCAACUACGUGCCAGCAGCCGC